rnacentral:rRNA from 1 species
UGGGGAAUAUUGCACAAUGGGCGCAAGCCUGAUGCAGCAACGCCGCGUGAACGAUGAAGGUCUUCGGAUCGUAAAGUUCUGUUGCAGGGGAAGAUAAUGACGGUACCCUGUGAGGAAGCCCCGGUUAACUAGGUGCCAGCAGCCGCGGUAAUACGUAGGGGGCUAGCGUUAUCCGGAUUUACUGGGCGUAAAGGGUGCGUAGGUGGUCUUUCAAGUCGGUGGUUAAAGGCUACGGCUCAACCGUAGUUAGCCUCCGAAACUGGAAGACUUGAGUGCAGGAGAGGAAAGUGGAAUUCCCAGUGUAGCGGUGAAAUGCGUAGAUAUUGGGAGGAACACCAGUAGCGAAGGCGGCUUUCUGGACUGCAACUGACACUGAGGCACGAAAGCGUGGGUAGCAAACAGG